AUCAAGAAGAGGAUAAUAUAUUAAAAUUUUAAAAAAUUGAAUAUUGUAUAGAAUCCACAUCAUAUUAUAUUAAAAUAUUAUGUACGUUUACAUCAAUUUGACAAAUUGACAUAAUAUAUGACUUGGAAAAGAGAGAUGGAUGCAUGGAAUGCAGCAACACGAAGUCAGUCCAGCUUUCGAGGUAGCUUCAACUCGUAAUAACAGUCUGUCUUCUGAUUUAAUCUUUAAAUAAACGUCAUUAUUAAACUAAAUUAUAUCGUAAAUUAUAAACUUAAACAUCAGUACAGGUUCUUUUUACGUCUUCUUUUGGGAAAGUUCAAUCUUUUUCUGCAUUCAAAACUUCAUAGUUCAUACAUUAUAGACCGUACAAUACGGUGGUAAUAGGAAAAGACAAUGUAAAGAAGAGUUGAAAGGAAAAGGAAACUAACUUGAAAAGAAAAUAGGAUUCCGUGCAAGAGCAGAGCAUAGUAGCAAUAGCAAGAAAAAGAAGAAGAAGAAGAAACGUAUGAAGCAACUUCGAGUUUCAAAACCCAAUGCCAUUCUCUUCAUGACCUCUCUAAUAUCUAUCCUAUUAGUAUAAGCUAAGAUGAAGACAUUAACGUAGCUAUUACACUGCGUUUGGAAUGAGGGAUGGAAGGUAAAAUAAAGUGACCCAAAGGAAAACCAAAAAAAGAAACUUGUGGUGGGUCCCACAAAGAUUCUUUAACACCAUUUUACAGAAGGAACUAAUGAGUAAGAUAAUGACCAUUUCGUUUCUUUAUCAA